GGGGAAGGUAGCUUGCUACCUGACCUAGCGGCGGACGGGUGAGUAAUGCUUAGGAAUCUGCCUAUUAGUGGGGGACAACAUCUCGAAAGGGAUGCUAAUACCGCAUACGUCCUACGGGAGAAAGCAGGGGACCUUCGGGCCUUGCGCUAAUAGAUGAGCCUAAGUCGGAUUAGCUAGUUGGUGGGGUAAAGGCCUACCAAGGCGACAAUCUGUAGCGGGUCUGAGAGGAUGAUCCGCCACACUGGGACUGAGACACGGCCCAUACUCCUACGGGAGGCAGCAGUGGGGAAUAUUGGACAAUGGGGGGAACCCUGAUCCAGCCAUGCCGCGUGUGUGAAGAAGGCCUUUUGGUUGUAAAGCACUUUAAGCGAGGAGGAGGCUACCGAGAUUAAUACUCUUGGAUAGUGGACGUUACUCACAGAAUAAGCACCGGCUAACUCUGUGCCAGCAGCCGCGGUAAUACAGAGGGUGCAAGCGUUAAUCGGAUUUACUGGGCGUAAAGCGCGCGUAGGUGGCCAAUUAUGUCAAAUGUGAAAUCCCCGAGCUUAACUUGGGAAUUGCAUUCGAUACUGGUUGGCUAGAGAAUGAGAGAGGAUGGUAGAAUUCCAGGUGUAGCGGUGAAAUGCGUACAGAUCUGGAGGAAUACCUAUGGAGAAGGCAGCCUCUCUGGCCUAAUACUGACACUGAUGUGCGAAAGCAUGGGGAGCAAACAGGAUUAGAUACCCUGGUAGUCCAUGCCGUACACGAUGUCUACUAGCCGUGGGGGCCUUUGAGGCUUUAGUGGCGCACCUAACGCGAUAAGUAGACCGCCUGGG
rnacentral:rRNA from 1 species